UUAGCAGAGCAUAGCAGAGUUUAAUGAUGAGCAAUAACGAUCUUGAUGAACAAUUACUGAUUUUGAUGAACCAGACUGAUAGACUCUGGGAAAGUCGCAGGGAGAUAUAGCGGAGAACGAUCGAAGGACCGAUGGCUUUCUCACGUCAGGGCAGUCUGUUAGGUUGUGUCAGUGCAACGUGCUUGUAAACAGAGUCCAGUAAGCCGGUUCCGCCCGGGUGCUUUAACCUUUCCAGUCAUAAGUAUUCCAGUUGCAGUGGAUCCGAUCCGUCACAUCGAAUAGAUUCCCCCGUACAUUAAAGAACAGUGACUAUUAAGUUUCUGGGUAGAAGUAAGCUAACGACGAUAAGAUUCCCGAUCUCCUUCUCACUUGUAGGACCAUUAUACGGAUUGAAGUUGUUCUCGAGGUAGAGAGACCCGAACAUUCCUGCUCAAACCGUGCUGCCUUUCCGAUACCUGCUAGAAUAAUUGAUUCUCCUUCGUCAACCGAGACCAUUCGUGACAGUCAAACUGUUGACGGUGAGACUCAGUCAAAGACGCGUGAUAUUCCAGCCCUCCUACACUAUUUCUAAGAGAGAGACUUAUCAUAAGGUGAUUGCACCAGCAUAUACUUAGAGACCAAGAUAGUUCCUUUAAAUAGGUUAUGAGAAGAAUUUCUACCGUGUCAAUUAAUUAGUAUAGUAUAAAAAGGUUACUUCCAUUGUUAUAUAAACAUCUUUCAAUUUAAGAAGGUUUUCGCUCAUUAAUUAUACUACCAUUAGUUGUUCUAUAUUUUGUUCUAUAUUGUCGUUUCAAUUUGUGUCAACCCACCAAAAUUGAAAGUCUGAAUUAUAAUCACUAACCGCACUAAAUUAAAUAAGAAGUAACAUGAAACUCUGAAUUCUAGCAAAACUAUAAUUUCCCUAAAACAAAAGUUUUAAGACGCUCAAUCGUGGGUUCAGAACCUUCCGAGACGGACUCUCUUGAUAUAACCGGGGCCUCCCAUGUAUAGUUCUAGCCAAGUCAAAAGGAGCUCUAAAUAAAUAAUUUCUUGGAGGAAAUAAAGUACUACAUACCAUGGACAUGGGAGAGGUGAU